rnacentral:lncRNA from 1 species
AUGACAUGUGCACACUCCAUCAGAGCCGGCAGCGCUGACGCCCGAUCGGGCCUCUACUCCCAUCUGAAGCCCCGCAGGAGCUCCCCACCCAGCAGCCGCUGCCAACGAGCCCCAGGACAUCCAGAGAGACAGCAGGAGAGGGACCCUGGCCCGAACCCCGCUGGGCUUCUCCCUCAGCCGAGGGGCCACUCACUCCGUGAUCAAGGCCGACUUCUAAAAGCCAAAAAAAAAAAAAAAAAAAAAAAGGUGCGGCUGGCUCACUCGCCAGCGGAGAACACCAUUUCCAGAAUAUUUUUUUCUCCAUCAGAGCACAGGAGGUGGGAAGAGAGACGACUCCAGGGAGCCACAGCUGGGGCCUCGGGGCAUUUUCCAGACCGCUCCGGGUCUGCGCCCCCCUCCGCACCCCCACCCGGUCGGGGGUCUCAGAGGAAGGUCACGCGUAGGACUGAUGCCGCCUGCGAAAGUGCCUCGCCAGGCUCCCUCCCCAGCCCCCUCGUGCAAGUCGUCCGGAGGGGGACCGAGGGCGCCUCAAAGUUUCCCGGAGCGCCCCCAGGACGAAGGUUAGCAAGGAGCAAAGUUCCCUGGUGGCGGUCGCUGGAGACACGGCAGGGAGAAAAGCUCGCAGUCAGCAUUUCCUCCGGGAGCUCACCAAGGGAGGAAAAAAAAAACCCAGAAAACCGGAGGGCGACCAAACCCUGCCGCCCCACCUUCCCCGCGGCAGCACCUCCUCGUGCUCGCUCGGCCGGGGAGGGGGCCUGCCCGAAGCUCGAGCCGGGCCCCUCGCACUUACCUCGGUCAGUGCCCCGGGCGCGGCGCGCUCCGCGUCCUCCGAGCUCCGGGCGGCCGUUUCUGGCCCCGGCAGCGGCCGCGCUGGCUGCAUCGCCGCCGCCGCCUCAGGGCAGCCCCCGGGGGCGCUCCAUCUCACGGAGGGGCGCGUCGGGCCGGGGCACCGAUCGCCCGGGUCCAGCCGCGGGCCGGGGGCGCGCGCCUGGACGGCGUCCCCGGGCGCGGGGCGCACGCGCUGCUCGGCGCGGCGGGUGUCCGUCCCUCCGUCCGGCUGUGAGUGCGGCCGGCGCCCCCCUCCCCCGCCCGCUGAUACCCGAUCCCGGGCUGGGCCGGGCGCGCUCCCCUACGCCCAGGCGCCCGGCUCCUCCGCGCCCGCUCCGGCCGCUCCAGCCCCUCGCUCUGGGCGAGCGUUCCCGGGGAGGCGGUGGCAGCAGCGAGGCCGGGGAAGGCGGGGGGAGCGGAAUGGAGGGCGAGGAGGCGGCGGGAGGCUGA